rnacentral:rRNA from 1 species
GGUUAAGUGACUAAGCGUACAGGGCGGAUGCCUUGGCAAUCAGAGGCGAUGAAGGACGUGCUAAUCUGCGAAAAGCUUGGAUGAGUCGAUAAGAGGCGUUUAAUCCAAGAUAUCCGAAUGGGGAAACCCAGUAGAUGAAGAAUCUACUAUCAAUAAAUGAAUACAUAGUUUAUUGAGGCGAACCGGGAGAACUGAAACAUCUAAGUACCCCGAGGAAAAGAAAUCAACCGAGAUUCUGUGAGUAGCGGCGAGCGAAAGCGGAAGAGCCAGUAAGUUUUAGCUAGCGUAUUAGAGGAAUUGGCUGGGAAGCCAAAUCAAAGAGGGUGAUAAUCCCGUACUCGAAAGUAUGGUAGUGGAACUAAGCUUACGAUAAGUAAGGCGGGACACGAGAAAUCCUGUUUGAAGAUGGGGGGACCAUCCUCCAAGGCUAAAUACUCCUGAUUGACCGAUAGUGAACCAGUACUGUGAAGGAAAGGCGAAAAGAACCCCGGUGAGGGGAGUGAAAUAGAACCUGAAACCCUGUACGUACAAGCAGUAGGAGCGAGGGCAACCUUGUGACUGCGUACCUUUUGUAUAAUGGGUCAGCGACUUAUAUUUUGUAGCGAGGUUAACUGAAUAAGGGAGCCGAAGGGAAACCGAGUCUUAACUGGGCGUUGAGUUGCAAGGUAUAGACCCGAAACCCGGUGAUCUAGCCAUGGGCAGGUUGAAGGUUGGGUAACACUAACUGGAGGACCGAACCGACUAAUGUUGAAAAAUUAGCGGAUGACUUGUGGCUGGGGGUGAAAGGCCAAUCAAACCGGGAGAUAGCUGGUUCUCCCCGAAAUCUAUUUAGGUAGAGCCUUGAGCGGACACCUUCGGGGGUAGAGCACUGUUUCGGCUAGGGGUCCAUCCCGGAUUACCAACCCGAUGCAAACUGCGAAUACCGAAGAGUGAUACUCAGGAGACACACGGCGGGUGCUAACGUUCGUCGUGGAGAGGGAAACAACCCAGACCGCCAGCUAAGGUCCCGAAGUCUAUAUUAAGUGGGAAACGAAGUGGGAAGGCUUAGACAGCUAGGAUGUUGGCUUAGAAGCAGCCAUCAUUUAAAGAAAGCGUAAUAGCUCACUAGUCGAGUCGGCCUGCGCGGAAGAUGUAACGGGGCUCAAAUAUA